GUGAUGGUUAAUUUUAGGUGUUCAUUUGGCUAGGCCACAGUACCCAGACAUCUGGUCAAACACUAUUCUAUAUGUUUCUGUGCAGGUGUUUUUUCAUGGAUUAAUUUACAUCAGGAGACUUUCAGCAAAGCAGAGUAUCCUCCAUGAUGUGAGUGGGCCUCAUCCCAUCAUUUGAAGUCCUUAAGGAAAAGACUGACCUUCCUUGAGCCAGAGGGAAUGUUCCCAGCAGAUGGUCUUUAGACUCAAAGACAACUUCCCUAAGUCCCCAGCCUGCCAGCUAAACCUGCACUGUGGGAACUUGCCAGCCCCACAAUGGCAUGAGCCAAGUCCUCAAACUAUACUUCUCAUCCUCUCUCGAAUGUUGAAUUUUGUUAUGAAAAAUACCUGGGUCACCUAGGAUAGGAUGCUAACAUCUGUCCUUUCUAGACGGUGGUUGUAGUGGGUUGAAUAGUGUCCCCCCGCAAAAAAAAUACAUCCACCCAUAACCUGUGAAUGUGAUGAUAUUUGGAGUCUUUGCAGACAUAAUUAAGUUGGGGAUUGGAGAUGAGAUCAUCUUGGAUCAGAGUGGACCCUAAAUCCAAUGACAAGUGCUUACCAUCACAGACUCCAGUUUUGCUUCGAAAAUUCUGAAACUAUUCUAAAAAAAUAUGUUAAUGUAUUUGAGAGAAAAUGAAGACACAACAUAAAGGUGUGAUGACUCUAUCUGACCUGCACAGCAGCUCUUAAGCAGCCCUUGUCCCUCUUGGGUAGAAUAAAUUUAUACAGUAGAAUGUAUACAUUCUAGUUUAUACAUUAGAAUAUGGUCUUAGACCUUCCCGCCAGUCCUCUCACCCUCUCUCCCUCACUUUAGCAAUGCUGGAAGCCAGGGGCUCCAGACGGCCCAGCUACAAGAUGGAAGUGGCAAGGAUCCCGCUCACCCGAGGAGAGUUGGCCUGGAGAGCUGCCUGACCCAGCCUUUAAUGAGCAAGAGACAUAUCAGUUUGAAAUGCAUUGAAAAUUAAAACAAAGAGCACAAACUAUAGAUUGAAAAACACUGCUGUAGCAUAAUUGCUCUCUAUUGAUCAGAAUUGUGUCUGCAAGAGAGUCUGAAAAAGGAAGAGGAGCAACCAACUCCUUUCACAAUAUCUGGGGUCACAGCAUCAAAGUGGGUGUGGCCCAGAAUGAUGAAAUAAGGACUUUGAAUAUCCAUUGCUUUGUUAAUUUAAAAAAAUCCAAUAACUUCGGCAAAAAUUGUCAAAAUCAGCUUUUUCAGAACUCUGGAAAUUAAUAAAAGGCUUACAACUUUGCAAGGUAUGUUUAUUCAAGAAGAACAGCUAACUAUCAUAAGAAU
rnacentral:lncRNA from 10 species